CUACGGGUUGCACCAGUGAGGAAUAUUGCACAAUGGGGGGAACCCUGAUGCAGCAACGCCGCGUGGAGGAUGACGCAUUUCGGUGUGUAAACUCCUUUUAUAUGUCAAGAAAAUGACGGUAGCAUAUGAAUAAGCACCGGCUAACUCCGUGCCAGCAGCCGCGGUAAUACGGAGGGUGCAAGCGUUACUCGGAAUCACUGGGCGUAAAGGACGCGUAGGCGGGUUGGAAAGUCAGGUGUGAAAUCCUACAGCUUAACUGUAGAACUGCACUUGAAACUUCUAAUCUAGAGUAUGGGAGGGGGAGAUGGAAUUAGUGGUGUAGGGGUAAAAUCCGUAGAUAUCACUAGGAAUACCUAAAGCGAAGGCGAUCUCCUGGAACAUUACUGACGCUAAGGCGUGAAAGCGUGGGGAGCAAACAGGAUUAGAUACCCGCGUAGUC
rnacentral:rRNA from 1 species